rnacentral:misc_RNA from 1 species
AGAGGGAAAAUGCUCUGUUUUACGCUUUUAUCUAUGUCUGUGUCUGUCUCUCACAUUUGGUUUGGAUAUUUCCAGGUUAAUGAAAUUGCCUAAUCGAUGAUCUCCACUCAAUUCCCAAGAAUCCCAUAAACGCGACCUCCUAAAUCCAAAAUCUCUCGUGCUUUCCUGCCGAUUCUAGGGUUUCUUACUUUGGCCAUCUUUGCCUGUACUGUGAUCUCCUAGGGUUCUUAAACCAACCAAACAAAGAAACAGAACAGAAAAAGAACAAAUAAAAAAAA